rnacentral:rRNA from 1 species
GAUGAACGCUGGCGGCGUGCCUAACACAUGCAAGUCGAGCGAACAGACGAGGAGUUUGCGCCUCUGACGUUAGCGGCGGACGGGUGAGUAACACGUGUAUAACCUACCUAUAAGACUGGGAUAACUUCGGGAAACCGGAGCUUAUACCGGAUAAUAUAUUGAACCGCAUGGUUCAAUAGUGAAAUACGGUUUUGCUGUCACUUAUAGAUGGAUCCGCGCCGCAUUAGCUAGUUGGUAAGGUAACGGCUUACCAAGGCUACGAUGCGUAGCCGACCUCAGAGGGUGGUCGCCCACACUGGAACGGAGACAGGGUCCAGACUCCUGCGGGAGGCAGCAGUAGGGAAUCUUCCGCAAUGGGCGAGAGCUUGACGGAGCAACGCCGCGUGAGUGAUGAAGGUGUUCGGAUCGUAAAGCUCUGUUAUUAGGGGAGAACAAAUGUGUAAGUAACUGUGCACGUAUUGACGGUACCUGGUCAAAAAGCCACGGCUAACUACGUG